GAAUUGGAAAAGGCUUUCAAGCAGAAGUUCCAGAUUGGUCAGGUCCACUCAAUCAGAGGGAUGUUAAUACCAUUGGUGAACUACUGGAAAUGGGUACAUCAGAGUGUAUUAAUUUGCAUGAGUUUAAUGGUGACAAGUCUUCUGAACUUAGCUCAAUAGGUAAUUGGCUCCAGUGUAGAGAGGCUGUAGAAGGUGAUGGAAUCUGUGGAAAGUGGCGCAGG